UACGAAGGGGGCUAGCGUUGCUCGGAAUCACUGGGCGUAAAGGGUGCGUAGGCGGAUAGGUAAGUCCGUGGUGAAAUCCUGCAGCUUAACUGCAGAACUGCCAUGGAUACUAUUUAUCUUGAAUAUCGUGGAGGUUAGCGGAAUAUGUCAUGUAGCGGUGAAAUGCUUAGAUAUGACAUAGAACACCCAUUGCGAAGGCAGCUAACUACGCGAUAAUUGACGCUGAUGCACGAAAGCGUGGGGAUCAAACAGG
rnacentral:rRNA from 1 species